rnacentral:rRNA from 1 species
AUCUACCUGGUUUYCAGGUCGAGUUGUAAUUUGAAGAUACGUUUUUGACGUUCCGGGUUGAACUAAAUCCUUUGGGAUAAGGUAUCAUGGAGGGUGAGAAUCCCGUAUAUACCAACCRUAGGGAUGUUAUUUAAUACGUUUCUAAGAGUCGAGUUGUUUGGGAAUGCAGCUCUAAAUGGGUGGUAAAUUUCACCUAAUGCUAAAUAUAAGCGAGAGACCGAUAGCGAACAAGUACAGUGAUGGAAAGAUGAAAAGAACUUUGAAAAGAGAGUUAAAUAGUACGUGAAAUUGUUGAAAGGGAAACGAUUGAAGUCAGUCAUGCCAGUGGGAAUCAACUUWGAGGAAACUCUGAGUGCACUUCUUCGCUUGGCAGGUCAACGUCGAUUUUGGAUGUCAUAAAAUGAUUGGGGGAAGGUAGCWCWUUCGGGAGUGUUAUAGCCCUUGGUAGAUGUGAUGUCUGGGAUCGAGGAUUGCAAUGGAUACCCUUUGGGGCUAGCCGCCUGAUCUCUAAU